CCUACGGGAGGCAGCAGUGGGGAAUAUUGCACAAUGGGCGCAAGCCUGAUGCAGCGACGCCGCGUGAGGGAUGACGGCCUUCGGGUUGUAAACCUCUUUCAGUAGGGAAGAAGCGAAAGUGACGGUACCUGCAGAAGAAGCGCCGGCUAACUACGUGCCAGCAGCCGCGGUAAUACGUAGGGCGCAAGCGUUAUCCGGAAUUAUUGGGCGUAAAGAGCUCGUAGGCGGUUUGUCGCGUCUGCUGUGAAAGACCGGGGCUCAACUCCGGUUCUGCAGUGGGUACGGGCAGACUAGAGUGCAGUAGGGGAGACUGGAAUUCCUGGUGUAGCGGUGAAAUGCGCAGAUAUCAGGAGGAACACCGAUGGCGAAGGCAGGUCUCUGGGCUGUAACUGACGCUGAGGAGCGAAAGCAUGGGGAGCGAACAGGAUUAGAUACCCUGGUAGUCCAUGCCGUAAACGUUGGGCACUAGGUGUGGGGGACAUUCCACGUUUUCCGCGCCGUAGCUAACGCACUAGUGCCCGCCUGGGGAGUACGGCCGCAAGGCUAAACGUUAAUUGAAUUGACGGCUUGNGCGNGCGACGGCGACGACGAGGGAGGAGG
rnacentral:rRNA from 1 species